rnacentral:lncRNA from 1 species
GACUCUUGUUGCUGCGGGAGAAGAGUCCAAACAAAACAGAGGAUGGAUCCUGUCCACAUGCCCUUGACAUGUUCUGGGACAUGAUUCCUAACACUCUCAUGUUAUGAAUUUCCUGAGGACUCUUCUGUGAUGACCUCUGUGUGCUUAACCAAUAUCGUAAACAUCAAUUAUUUUGGAAUAAAACAAAAUAAAAUCAACCACAUAAAAAAACUUCUAUCAGAAAGCAUUUGGUGAGUACAAUGAAGGGAGGAAUUGGAAAAGUGAGAAGUGUGAUGCUUUGAGAGUUUUAUCUUUGUCUUUUCCUGUUAUUAAUCAAGUUAAUCUUGUUUCCUUGCUUCUCAAGGUACAGAGUUUGCUGGAAAAUUCCUCAUGUUUCAUGUCUCCUUUUUUUGAUCCCAUUUUUGAUUGACAGUGGAUGGAGAUGGUCAAUAUACCAGAGCGGCAUGAAAUGACAAAGAGCAUUUCUUGAAGAAACCUCAACAGAGUGAUGGGUGAUCAUUUGGUUCGAUAACACCAAAGGCUGGAUGAAUUUACCCAGAGAGGACCGUAAUGAAAAUCUGAAAUAACCUUUAUAAUUUUCAAGUGAGGAAAUGAAGGCCAAACAUGAGAGGCUACAAUAAGAGUAUACUGGUUUGGGCUUCCAGGCCAUGCCCGCUGAAACAUGUAAGAAACCAGCUACUGUAUGCGAUGCGGUGGUUCUAAAGGCUUACGACUGCUUUUUCACAAACCGCUGUCCUCAUUUAGCCACAGUCCAUGGAGAUGGAGAAGGCUCUAAAAGUUCCAGAAUCAUCCUAACUCUCCAAAGAAGACUGGCAUUUGCUAGUUUGAAACUCUGCAAUGGAGAUGGUCCAAUGACUUGAUUGCCUUUGUAGACUACAGUGAAAUUUCCUCUUUGCUCCUUGGGUCUAAGUAAAUGUCAGAAAUACUGAAAGGUUGGAAGUGAAUGGUUCUAUCAACAAAUCCAUACUGAUUGGAUGUAGUGGCAUAAAAUGAACUCAGAAACCCAUCACCCUCCAGGUAUGCUGCUCUGCUUCUAUCAUUUGUGACCUAUGUUGGUGCUUUUGGUGUUCACUGGCUUCUUCAAUUGUCAUAUAGCUAUAAGUACAAAUAGGGGCCUUAGCCAUUGUUUACUCCUGCCCUGGAAGGUCACAUAUAUGUGUCUAAAGGUUCUCUGCUAGGCAAACAUUAUGAUAAUUAUGAUAAGGAGUCUUUUUUCCCAGUAUCAAAAAAUGAUGUCUCCCUUCAAAAACAAAUGAAAACUCAAACACAGGGUUUUCUGAAAUUCACCCUCUCGAUGAACCCUCAGGUAAUUUGACCAUUCCUUUCUUUACAUCUCUGAGGUCACAAAGAAGAGGACAGUCAACGUUAAACUUCUGUUCUGACAAGAAGUUGAAAUAUAGUGGCUAAGUUCAGGGAUCCUGAGGCUGGAAUGCUUGGAUCCAAAUGUUUGACUCUGCCUCCAACUAGCUGUGUGACCUUGGAAAGUUACUUAAC